UGUGUGACGCCAUACAGAGUUUCGAUUUUUGAGGAUUUAAAAAGCUGUAAUUCAACGAAAGUAUACUACAAAAAAAAAUAGUGUACGGAUAGGUAAACACGGAGACAUUUAUUUCUGGGUCCAGCAUGAAAGGACGACAUCCGAAAUUCCGAGAAAAUUAUUUCGAUAAUCACAACGCAUGAAAAUCGUAUCAAAAUAUUAUAUUGUUCGAAUAUAGACUAUUGAUAACUCUUAGAAAUUAAGUUUUAAGCAGGGAUGGAAACUUCGGGGUACAUAGUCGAAGAUGUUUACAUUUUCGGAUCUAAAUGCUC